rnacentral:rRNA from 1 species
GAUGAACGCUGGCGGCGUGCCUAAUACAUGCAAGUCGAGCGAACUGACUAGAAGCUUGCUUCUCUGAUGUUAGCGGCGGACGGGUGAGUAACACGUGGAUAACCUACCUAUUAGACUGGGAUAACUUCGGGAAACCGUUGCUAAUACCGGGUAAUAUUUUGAACCGCAUGGUUCAAAAGUGAAAGACGGUCUUGCUUUUACUUAUAGAUUGAUCCGGGCUGCAUUUGCUAGUUUGUAAGGUAAACGGUUACCAAGGGAACCAUGCAGAACCGACGGGUGCGGGAGAUCGGCCACACGGAAACGGAGACACGCUACACACUCCUAGGAGAGGCAACAAUAGGGUAUCUCCCACAAGAGGAAAAAGCGUGACGGCGCCACGCCGCGUGAGUGAUGAAGGUCUUCGGAGCGUAGCACUCUGUUAUGAGGAAAGAACAUAUGUGUAAGUAAAGGUCCACAUCUUGACGGUACCUAAUCAGAAAGCCACGGCUAACUACGUG